GGGCAGUCACAUGACGCCGGCGCCGCUCGCUCUGCGAGCCUCCCGGGGCUGGCGGGAGAAUAACUUGUCUGACUACCAGUAUUCUUGGAUGCAGAAGUGCUGAAGAUGAGCACACACACGUACGGAGAAUUUCUGGAGAAUUCAGCUGCUCAGAACAAGAACUGAGAUCCAGAGAGAUGAUGACUUUGCCCAUAGACCAAACAAAGAAAUACAUGUUUCAGUCCUGUGUCCUCCUGCUAUGUGUGUCCGGAAUUGGUGGGUUCUUGGUCUCACUGACUUCAAGAAUGAAGCUGCGGACCCUCGCGGACCGUGUGUGAAUGCCUGCUCUGUGAGCCCUCAGAAUCUACUGGCUGAAUGAGUGCGUGGAGGAAAUGUGCUCAGAGCUGCUGUGUGUCAUCCUGUGUUUGAAGUGCUCCUGCAGCUAUCAUUCAUCCAGUUAAGAAUUUGAAGAAGUGUGUGCACAAAGCUCACAGGAUAUCGGCCAUGUUAAUGAGUCUGAUGUUGCUAGUAUCACAGGCACCGGAAAAUAUGCACAUUAUGCUGGAGCAUUAGAAUGCAACAGAAAGAGCCCUGGGCUUGGAGUAUGCAGAACUGGUUCUUGUUACAACUCCUCUUACUAGUGGGCUCUGGAAGAAAACACAUUGAAUUCAUGAUCAUGGUUAACCUUUGGAGAGAGAGAGGAGACCAGGAUGAAGGAGCCAGUCGAAGGAAAUGAAUGUGUAGAGGAAGAAGUCAGGUGAUGCUGGUGUCCUGGGGACCACUCCACGGAAGGAGAAGACACUGGGAAUAGAAGACCUUUGAAAAUCGUGAUGGGCUUAAAGAUCCCAGCGCAGGUCCCACCACUUAUUCGCUCUCACCUGGCAUCUCAAUCUCUGCAUCUGUAAAAAUGAAGAAAAUAAUCCAUCUCCCUGGAUGACUUCAUGAGAUUUUUUGUAGUCAUCAGUGAGGUACUGUACAUAGACGUGCUGUAAGGACGAAAAGUUCUUCACAAUAGGAUGCAUGGGAAAGCAAGCAGGGAGCAGUGGAGGAGGCUGAACCCAGAACGUGGGCUGAGGAUGCUGGGAGGGAACAGGGUUGGGGGCUGAAUCCUAACAGGAGGAAGCUACUGAGCUGCUUCUGUAAGUUGGGCCUGGAUGGAAACCCUGGAAGCAGUAACUCCAAGAAAGAUUCAAAAGUGGGACAAGAAGAGCAAGAACCAGGAAUGGAAAAACUCCAAGGAACAUGAGUGAAGAGGGUGUAACCAGAGACCAGUGUCAACAAGGAAUCUGGCUUGGAACGCUUUUGUCUGCAGCCCUCUUUGGAGCGUGACUUGCUCUUUCAGAGGUCUGUAUUUCUCUACCUGGACUACCCUGAGAGCUAACCCCAGUUAUUGGUCUGGA
ensembl:lncRNA KLF3-AS1 KLF3 antisense RNA 1